rnacentral:lncRNA from 10 species
UCCCCAGCCCACCAUCCCCAUCGUGGGCAUCGUUGCUGGCCUUGUUGUCCUUGGAGCUGUGGUCACUGGAGCUGUGGUCGCUGCUGUGAUGUGGAGGAAGAAGAGCUCAGGCCCAGCUCCUGAGUGUCUCUACCUCUCAAACAAGUAUUCUCAUCCAGGAGCAAUUUUCCCACCAGAGGACAUUAGCUAUGUCUGGAAAAAUGUUUUGUUGCCAUGACUGGAGUGAGGAGGAGGUGCUACCAGCAUCUUGUGGGGAAUGACCAGGGAUGCUGAACAUCCUGCAGUGCACAAGUCAGCCCAAUCACCCACAUAACAGAUAAUUAUCCAGCCCCAAUACCAAGAUUGCCAAGGGUAAGGAGGCCUGCCAGGACUUUCUCUCCCUUGAGUACAAGCUUCCUUGAACUGAGGGACACCCUGAAGGAAAAGUGUGGUCCCACCCCAGUCAUCUCUCCCUUCCCUGGAGCUCCAUCUGUAUGCCUGUAGUGCUUAGGCCUGUAACCUGGGGUCCAGGAACCCACCUUCCCAUGAGACUGCAUGCAGAAGUGAUGAUAUGUGCACACAUGACUUCAUUACAGGGCAUUGGAUGUUGAUAUUCAUCAGGUCAGCUGGGGCCCAAGACACUACUCUUCUGCCAACAGGCCGCAAUCCUCUGCAUUAGAGAGAGGGUAAAGAUUGAGGGAGGCCCUAACUUCAAACCUUCUAUCACUGCUAGUGAAGUGCCAAAAAGAAGUGCAAGGUCAUCUGCCCUUGUAGGAACCACACAGGAAGGCAGAGUGUCCACCAAUGUCAAAUUCCAUCAAAGAAAUAAUAUUUUGACAAAAAAUGCAAGUCACCUUUCUAAGUCCCAGACAGCAGCUCAAAAUAAAAAGCAUUAAACCCCUCAAAUCUUAGACCAGGUGAAAUUAUUGAAGCUGCAGUAAGGUCUUGUGGGACCUGCAGUUAGAGAGAAGGGACAACUCAAUUUGGGACUGCAGCAGAAACCCCUACAUCAUGGGGUUCCUGGAAGGGACCCUCUCCCUUCAGCGACGCAUUGUGAGGCCAUUUCUAGGUAAAAAGGUAGAAUUUCCUUGGAUUCCUGAGGUUUAUUUUACACUUACUGCUUAUUCUUUGACUUUAUAGAAGCCAACUUCAGUUUGAACAUCUUGCAAUUAAUUUUUUUUGGCUCUAAGUGGAGAAUUUGAACUUGUUUCUGAAGAAAACCAGGGGCUCCUUAUGUGAGCAAGCAACCCUCCCUGUGGCCCCCUUAUGCAAUAAACAUAAGCCAUUGUGAGCCAGCAAAAUUUAAAGCAAGGAAAGCAGUAAACCCUCCAUUUCAGCAUGUUUCAGCCUGUCUAGUGAUGUUCUAGUCUUGCCUCACUCUUAACAUUUUAAAAUUUAUAAUUUUAUUUGAUUUUGAUUUAAUAAGAAUUCAUAUGUAUUCAUUUCUUUUGGGUUUGUCACCAAAAGCCUCCUCCAAUCACCUGUGGAGUAAAGACAAGUAAAUAAAUGCAUGGUGUUCCCAUUUA